GCGGGGGCGGGGGGUGGGGUAGGGUGCCCUGGGGGGAGCGCUCCGGCCGCCGGCCCCCGCCCCUUCGGGCUCGGGCGGGGUGGUCGCAAAGCCCUAGUUAGGCUACUGGCAGGCAGGCGGGUUAUCCUGGAGCUUCCUCUGUGAGCGGCCACGGGAGCUGCCCUCAGGCAGGUAGGGAGCGCGCGAUUGCUCCCUCAGGCCGGCUCUGCGGAGGCGGAACCCGAGCCUGCACACCAGCCUGAAACUGGACGCAUAAACGCGCCACCGACCUGCGACGGGCAAAAGCUGCUUGGAGCCCGUGCGGCGGCAUUUUAGAAGGCACCUGACUCACAGCUCCCAAACCCCUUGGAAUUUUCUAAGUGAGGAGAGCAAGAACUGAGUCCAUCAUAACUAUGUAAAGAAGCCUCCAUAAAAACCCAAAAAGGACAGAACCAGAAUGCUUCCAUGUGCCACUGUGCUGGGCUCCAAGCUCCACCAGGACGGAAGCUCCUUCGUUUGGGAACUUACCCUAUGCAUCUCUUAAUCUGGCUCUUGAUUUAUAUCCUUUAAUAUCCUGUAUAAUAAAUAUCAUUUGUAAUCUA